AACGAGAAGAACCUUACCUACUCUUGACAUCCAGAGAACUUAGCAGAGAUGCUUUGGUGCCUUCGGGAACUCUGAGACAGGUGCUGCAUGGCUGUCGUCAGCUCGUGUUGUGAAAUGUUGGGUUAAGUCCCGCAACGAGCGCAACCCUUAUCCUUUGUUGCCAGCGGUUCGGCCGGGAACUCAAAGGAGACUGCCAGUGAUAAACUGGAGGAAGGUGGGGAUGACGUCAAGUCAUCAUGGCCCUUACGAGUAGGGCUACACACGUGCUACAAUGGCGCAUACAAAGAGAAGCGACCUCGCGAGAGCAAGCGGACCUCAUAAAGUGCGUCGUAGUCCGGAUUGGAGUCUGCAACUCGACUCCAUGAAGUCGGAAUCGCUAGUAAU
rnacentral:rRNA from 1 species